rnacentral:sRNA from 1 species
GUUAAAUUUAGCCGCGUUCCAAGCUGGAGUCAUGCAUAGUUUUAAAUUUGAUAAUGCAUUUUAUAUAUAGAGAAAAAUUCUGAGAUUCUUUUAAACAUAUGCUGUGGAAUCUUUUAAUUCUUGUGGAUUGCCAAUUUUAAUAGAAAUGCAAUUUUAUGGCUUUUCCUGCAUGCAACUAUACCAGUGGAUCUCAUGAUUUUGAUGAAAUUUGAACCCCUGGAAUUAGGAUGAUUCCAUAGUUCUUUGUAUUUUAGUGUUAAUGUUAUAGACAUAUUAUUUUUUAGGAGGAAAAAAAUACAUCUGAAUAUUACUUAACUUUUUCAUCCUAACUUACAGUUCUUUUCAUAAAAUUCUAUAAUUAUAUAUCUUUAUUUGCUUUGCAGAAAUUUUUACGUAAGUCCUGUGUUUGCAUUAAUUUAUGCAACCAAA